rnacentral:lncRNA from 1 species
AGCUGUGCCAAAUUUGAUGCUCUGAAAGGGAAGACCUGUGCCCACGCCUGCAAAAUUAGUGUCCUAGAAAGGAAGUGGCUCGAUGGCAAAUCAUCGGAACGCUACCUGAAUGAGCCCAUGUGUGUUCUUAAAGCUGAAGUGAGUCUGACUUCACCAAAAGCUCCACUUUUAGAGAGCCUCUGAUUGCAGUAUUAGCUUUUAUGACGUGGAAAGAGUUGGACAAUGAGAGAAAAAUCAGUUUAUACGUGGGAUGCCUACCACAGCACGGCUGCCAGGCAGUGCCAUGUCCGCACCCGGGAUCCGAACCAGCGAACCCCGGGCCGCCGAGAAGCGGAACGUGCGAACUUAACCGCUGCGCCACCGGGCCGGCCCCGAGAAGUUAAGUUUUUAGAGAGAAUGAGUAGCAAACUGUUGAGUGCUUCAGUCAGGAAGGUAGAGCCCCAUCGAUUGUAAGCAAGUAUAUCUAUAAUGAUGCUGAUGCUAGCUCUAUUGUGUCUGGACAGAGUAAGGCAUUCUGUUAAAUGCCUCACACAUAUUCUCAUUUAAUCCUGAGUGCUUUACACAAGAGGUCCUAUAUGUAACCCCAUCUUACCAAUGGGGAAAAUAAGGCUUAGCGUCUGAACCCAAAUGUGUCUGACUCAAAAUGCCAUGCUCUGAUCCCUUGGUUCAUUGCCUCUUAACAAAUGCACAUUAAAGUCCCUGCAUUUUCCACAUCAGACCUAGAAAUGCUUUUCUACUCUAUGACAGCUGUUUACAUUCUUUUGUUUUGGAAACAAGUAUAUUAAUUUUUGCUGUUUUACAGGCUUGUAUUAAUUAUUUUUUAAAUUGCAAAAUCAAUUUUCACUUUUUGGAUACCCUUUUGUUAAUAUUUAGAGUCAAUCUGAAGUAGAUGAGGAUUCGACUAUUUUAAUAUAUACUUGAAGAAUUGUUAAACACUGAUCACUGUGAUUGUAACCACUAUGAGACAAGAGGAUACCACGGCCAGAAAGGUCAAGAGUGAGUUUUCCAGGUCAUCGGCUCUGCCCAGAACUGCCUUGGUGAAUCACGUUCCACACAGCCUCUCAGUGCUGAGCCAGCAUCUAUGUAGAUCAAAGCUGUGGCCAGAAUGGCUAAUUCAUGCGCUAAACCCAAAUGUCAAAAUUUGUUAAACAUAUAUUCCUUUAGAAAAACUACCUAACUGAACCCACUGGAAGAAAAGUGCUAGAAUAAAUUAUUUGUCUAGAUUCAGAUUUAGAUGUUUUAAUUUAUUGCUGUGAUGGGCAGGCAAACAAUAAAGGCAAUGGCACAGUAACAGCCUACCUGGGGAAAGAGUUAGGGUCUAUCGCUGAAAGUCUUCAGGGAGAGGCACGUAAAGAAAUUAGUGAGACUGAUGAAGUGUUUAGUGGUAUAAAAUACAGAAGUUCAUAAAGGAUUAUCCCUCUGGUCUUCCCUAACCACACUGAAUAUGAAUGCAUUAUUGAAUGAAUAAAUCAGCAGCUUAAUGGUAUGAAGGCUUUCAAUGUAUCAACACUGCGGUUCAUUCUUAAUCUAUCUACUCCUUUUCCCCACACUUCUUUUUCCUUCUCCUCACUCCUAAUGAGGAUUUCUUGUGACUACAAAAGAAUAAUGACCCCACCACUACCACAGCCAUACACACAUCUUCUUUUUUCUGAGGGUGGAAUAACUAGCUAAGGAGUCU